GAGGGCGUUUACCACGGUGUGGUUCAUGACUGGGGUGAAGUCGUAACAAGGUAGCCCUAGGGGAACCUGGGGCUGGAUCACCUCCUUACCUAAAGA
rnacentral:rRNA from 2 species